CCUCCCCACCCCCACCCCCACCCUCACCCUGUCUGCAGCUUCUCGCUCUGCCUCCGGGCUUUGGGUGUGGGUAGAUAGUUGGUACGAAAUCUACAGAAAAUCCACUUCUCCGGGUUUUACUAGCAGCAUGAGGAAGAGUAAGAAUGGUGUGCUGGGAAGCUGUCAGCUACAGGCGUUUGUCUUCAGACCCAUCAGCCUGCUGAUAUGGACUUGCACAAGACACUAGGGUGAAUUCCAGACCUUGGAUUGAAUCCUUUGGCCUCCAUUUUGUAGACACCCUCUGCAUACUUCCUCAUCAGACUCUGGCUGACCAUCUUGUCUGAUGGAGGCAACAUUGUUAAACCCCAUAGUCACCACUCAUGGUGUAGAAGGAAGAAAAACGAAGACGCAGUACCAUCAUCUUCAUCUCUUUUCUCCUCUUCUUCCACUUUUUCUAAUUAUUUAUCAUGAAAAAUAUCAAAAACACAAAAGCAGGAAAAUGCUAUUAUGAAUCCCAUAUGUUUUCUUCCUACUUCAACAACUGUCAAGAUUUUCCAAUCUAGUUUCAUAGCAUCCCUUCUUGCUUUAAUGGAUGUAUUUCUAAGUAAAUCCUAGAGAAAGUGUCAUUUCACUCGUAAGUACUUUUUAAAAAAUUUUAUUUAAAGAAAGACAAAACAAAACAGGAAACAGGUAGAAAUAAUACACAUGUGCAGAGAAAAAUAUAAACAGUAAGAAAUCACUAGUUGAUGGUUACAUAUUAUCGUUUUACAAAUAGUUGUUCAAAAUACAAAAAUGGAACAUGUAAACUGGGAAUUCAAACAGCAAUGCUGCAAACGGUUCUGUUCAACUAUCCAACAAAAACUUAGUAACAUGGUUGUCAAUCCUAUACACUUAAACAUACAUGCAGUUAUCCAUAUCUUCAAUUAUGUUGAGAUUGAACAAACCCAAGCAGGCUAGUAUCACUCUGAACAAAGAAUAAUAUUAUUGCUGGGUUUCACAUUAAGACACUCCAGGAUCAGUGCUGGGUAUUUUAGUGUCUCUUUUUCUUCAAAGUAUCUGUUCAUUUCAUCAUGUGUCAUAAGAUCAGUUCUCAUAAACUGUUUAUAGAUUCUACAGAUGCAUGUUUUAACAUGUAUUUCCAUCUUUUCUAUAUUAGAGGGAGAAACAAAACAAAGCAAGGAAAAAUAAAACAUAUUCUUAUAAACACAUGAAAUGAAAUAAACAUAUAAGACCAUUGUACAAAGACUUCUACCAUGGUUCCUGUGUUGUCUCUUGUUAUCUCCAAUAGAAUUGGCUAUAUCAUCAGACAUAGUAUAAUUGAAUAUACCAGUACAUAACAGUAUUAGUAAAAACACAACUUUGUAUAUAGUAUAGAACUUCAAAAAGUGGGCAGUUAUCAAACCAGAAUGUGUAUCAUAGAGUCUUGUCAUCUUCAGUGUAGUUGCCUAUACUCUCAGACUUGAUACUAUCAAUCGUAUCAGUUUUGAGUAAAAUCUUCUCUGCCUCAUUUCUGUUAUGCUCAUUUUUUGCCAUCAGUUGUCUGCUUAUCUUCUUCAUUCUGUUUUCUGCUCCAUUCGUUGAGGCCUGUCUGCCACUGUUCCUGGAAUCCUAGUACUUUUCUCUCUCUCUAGAAUGCUCUGUAGUAUUCUCUGUAGAGUUGGAUUAGUAGUUGCGAAUUUCCCAAGUUCCUCUUUGUCUUGGAAGAAUCUUGUUUCUCCAUUAAUUUCUAGAGACAGCUUAGCAGGGUAUAUCAAUCUUGGAUGGAGGUCUUUCAGGGCUUGGAAUAUUUUACUCCAGGCUCUUCUUGACUUCUUGGUUUGUGUCAAGAAGUGUGCUGUUAUUCUGAUGGGCCUUCCUUUAUAGGUUAUCUGUUUCUUGUCUCUAACAGCUUUUAAUAUUCUGUUCUUAUAUUGAAUUUCUGGGAUCUUGAUUAUUACAUGCCUGCAUAUAGCUCUGUUUUGGUUGUAGGUGGCUGGAGUUCUGUAUGCCUCAUAUAUCAGAAUAUCAUUUCCUUUUCCUAUGUUUGGGAAGUUUUUCUUAAUUAUUUCUGUGAAUAACCUUUGUAGUUCCUUUGUUUGUACCCCUGCUUCUUCAUUCACAUUCUUUAUUCUCAAGUUAUAGAUCCUCUUGUCAUCUUCUAUCCUUUGUAUUGUUACUGCUUGUUAUUUUUUAAAAGUUUUCCCUUUCGUACUCCCACAUGGCAAAACUGUCCUGUGGUUUGGAUAAUCUAUCCUUAGAUUCUUUCAAGCUGAUUUGCCAUCUUUCCAUAGAGUUGUUAAUUUCCUGGUAAUCUCUUUGAAUCUGCUUCAUGUAUUCUAUAUUUUGUUUAUAUUCUUCAUCAAAUGUUUCUCUCCUUUGUUUGAGUUCCUCCCUUCUUCUGUCUGUGUAUGCUGGAGGGAUGCUUAGUAUCUCUUUUAUUAAUCUUCUUAUAUCUUACUUUACUUGGCUAAAUAAUUCACUUUUGAACUCAUCUAUGUGGUCCCAAAUAUAUCUCUUUAUGUCCACUGGCACUGUGUCUGAUAUUGCAUGUUUGCUGUUCUCAUUCUCGUUUGUAUUUACCUGUCCUGGGUCAAUGUUCUCAAGGUUGGGACCUGGGGACUUUUUGUUUUUGCUUCCUCUUCCCAUCUUUCUUACUUCUUCCAGGAGGCCCCAGUUUCUUUCUUUGUUGGUUACAAUUCUUCUGAAACGCGCUGGCUAGAUGACCCUUCCCAAUGCCAUGUGCUAGUGAGUUGCAGACAGGGACAGUGUAUGCUGGCCCCUCCUCUCUGGAGAAGUCAAUCUGCUGUGGCCUGUACUGUAUUACUUUGUGCCGCCUCCAGGUCAGUUAAGCUGCUGUGGCCUGCGCUGUAUUACUUUGUGCUACCUCUCCUCCAGGUCAGUCACACUUCAGAGGCUUUAUUGGGUUAGUGUGGUUAGUGUGCACCACUGCUCUAGGGACUUUUGGGUAAGUAUUGGGUCUCAGACAGGUCACGUGACCCAGGCCUAGUUCACUCCACCAAUCCCGUUCAGGAAGGGAACAACAGACUGAAGUCAUUGCUGCCUUUUGUACUUGCCAGUCGUGCUUGGUCCCAGAAUGUCAUCCACCGGAGCCCCCCUUUCUGUGGAAUGGCUCCAAUCCUGUCACUCACUACAGGUGGAUGCAGGCACCCCACCAACUCAGUUCUCCGUUUGGCUCGUGGAUCCCCGAACUCAAUGUAACUGCGCCUCCAGUGAAUCAAAGUGGCAGGACCUUGGAUGGCUUGGCAAGUUGCAGCAGGACCUUGGCAAGUGUGGCAGGACCUCAGAUGGUCAGCAAAUCACCUGCUGCCUCGGGAACACUGAACCUUUAGUUGUUCCAUUAAUAGCACCGGGACUGUAUGUUUGGUUUUUCUUCUUACCUUAAUUUCUUCUUGGGAUGAGAGAAUUCAUCUCCCUCUGUUUGGGGAUCCCCAAUCUGUAUUAUGUUGAAUUCUAAGUUGACUAUCUCAGGGAGCCUCUGUAGCCAGUUGUUAUCUAUCCGCCAUCUUUGCCAAUCUUUCCCACUCAUAAGUACUUUAAAAUAAUCAUUAACAUUUUAAAAUAACAAAUGCAACUAUAUCAUAUGUAAGUUACAAUAAUUUCUUGGUAUCACCCUAUGCCUAUGUUAGCCAGUAGAGAUAUUUUUAGAAGCAUGCUUUAUUGUUUUCAGGUGAAGGCCACAACUUUAAAAGAAUGUUAACCUAUCUUCAAAAUUGUUUCAGCUAACGCCCUUCAGAGAAACAAGGAACCAGCCAAAAUGAGCAAUUCACUGACUCAUUCUUUUUCAUUAUAAUAAGUUAUCUGCCAAGAUCUUUUGCAUCUAUCAUUUUUAAUGGUAUGACCUUGAAUUGACACGCUCAGGAAUGUGCCCAUCCCUGCAGAUGAUAGUCUUUCUUAUAUGAAUAUGUGUAAGUUUUCCAAUAAAGGCUGUACUUUCUUUGGGGGGAACACUGCUUGGAGAGUCAUCUUCAGUACUUUUCUUGUUGCAAGUAAUAAAUUUCUUUCUACACUUUUGUAUUCUGAAGAAGCUUAUUGUCUUUGUACCUACCAAGAUCUAUACAGUAUACUUGGUUACAUCCAAGACAUAUUACUAUUUCCCUAAUUUUCUCUAGUGCUUGGAUCGGGAGCCAAAUAAAUUUGAUUGCUGAGUCUCUUAUAAUUUAUUACUGCUACAUCGAUCCUCUCUCUUUCUCUUUCUCUCUCUCUCUUUCUAUAUAUAUAUAUAUAUAUAUAUCCCCUUCUUUUAGUUUUCUAUUUUAAAAAUUCUAUUUAUGUAUUUUAUAUUUUUAUGUCAUUAAAAAAACUGAGUUGUUGGGCACAGGCGCUCAACAUACCAUACCCUACCCGGGACUAAGGACCACGCCAGCUUCCACAAUGUGCUACGUCCCUCUCCAAAUUAGCCAUCUCGUGCUCACUCUGUAUUCGCCCCGUGCUGACUCUGUGGCAACCCCUGAUUGACCACAGCUGGGUAUAUUGGCCAGAGCCCACGUCCCAUCCCAACCCUGCCUCCUUGUGGCAGCCUGUGAUUGGUCAUGGCUGAAUAUAUAAGCCAGAGCCCGCAACAAUAAAGCGGCAGUUACCUGUUACCAACAAGAGCGUCCUCUGUCUCAUUGGGGGGGGCUGUGCUGGUCAACUGGUGGCCCGUACGGGGAACGAGACCCUCUCUCCGACAGAACAGAGACCAUAACAGGUAAAACCGUCAAGCGCCGAUAGCGGGGGCUACGCGGCGGGUGGGGGCUGACAGGUUAAACUGCUCAAUGUUGGUAGCGGGGGCUACGCAACAGGCAGCAGGGGCUGCAGGGCCGGAUAGCGGGGGCUAUCAGGCAACCUUGGGCGGACGCGUCGCAAGGGUCGAGGAACUCGUAAAGAGAGUUCCCGGUACCGUAAAGAGGCAGGCUACGGGGGCGCCGUAAAGGAUACACCCCGGUCUCCAAGUCGAUGAGCAUGCGGGGUGGGCUCAUAAAACAACACUUCCGCCCCCUCCAAAAGAGCACUAACGAGUAGUGAGGUACAGUCAUGACUGCAGCGUGACACCUCACAAGGGGCACCGACCUCUGGAGACCCUGCGUCAGUUAUAAAGAAAGGGGGAGAUGUUGGGCGCAGGCGCUCAACAUACCAUACCCUACCCGGGACUAAGGACCACGCCAGCUUCUGCAAUGCCCUACGUCCCUCUCCAAAUUAGUCACCUCGUGCUCACUCCGUAUUCGCCCCGUGCUGACUCUGUGGCAACCCCUGAUUGACCACAGCUGGGUAUAUUGGCCAGAGCCCGCAUCCCAUCCCAACCCUGCCUCCUUGUGGCAGCCUGUGAUUGGUCACAGCCGAAUAUAUAAGCCAGAGCCCGCAACAAUAAAGCGGCAGUUACCUGUUACCAACAAGAGCGUCCUCUGUCUCAUUGGGGGGGCUGCGCCGGUCACUGAGUUAUGUUUUGAAAAAAAUUUUUCUAUGUUCUGGAUUUGACUGCUUAAUUCUUUGUGGUUUAUUUUAUAUCAUCAUUAAGGGAGUUUAUUGGAAUAGAUUGAAACUUGACUAAAUUUAGCUUCAUUUUUGGGGCUAAGAAUGUUUUAUAGGUGUUGCUUAUCCUAUUGUUUAUGUUAGGGUGUUCAUACUAGAAAAUGAUUUCAUUUUUCUGAUGUCAAAACUGACAGUAUGUUCAUAUGUAGUCAUCCUAAUUGUUGUAGUUAGGGGUUGCACAGAGAACAAUUUCAAUCAGGACAUGGAGUUUAUAAUAUUGUUUUACGAUGGUCACCCAGAGUUAACACAAGAAACUUAAGGAAAUCUAUCAGUGGGGUGAAGGAGCUGUGCUGGUAGGUUGAAUAUUCUAUGCUGGAGCUGAGAAGUCACACUCAAAACAAAGACCAGGGCUAUUCUGAAAAGCACCAGAGUCAUCCUCAGUGACACAGAAGCCUGAGCUCCUUUGACCACAAGCACAGUGGGGUACGUGUCAGGAAGCAGCAUGACGAGUUCAUCCUGGAGAUCAAGUGGCACACGUCUUCCCUUUUGGAGCCAGGAAGCAAUGCUCAAUGUGUGGACCAGAGCUUCUCCAGAGAACCCAAUGGCUCAAACAGUCUCCAACUCGUAGGAGAGUCCACAAUGCCUCAACACGUCAACACAGUAAUACAUUAAUGCCUUCCUUCUCCUUCUCCACCUCUUUAUUUAUGCUGGCAACUUCCCUCAGGUGAAGCAUCUACGAUCAGUGCCAUGCUGAUGUAAUCCAGCUGGCAUUAAGUUGCCCACCGGUUCUUAAUCCAUAACAAUAAUCUAUCAAAUCUACAUUUCUCGUCCAUAUUUUAUCAAAUAGUUUCUUACUGGUAAUCAGUGUCUGGAUCUCUUGUUUCACUUGGGAUUGAAAAAUGAUGAUUUCCUAAUCCUGUUACUCCAUUUGUAUUUAUUAACUGAAAUUCUCAUAUAAAGAAGAAAUUUUUAUCAACUAUUUGGUUACCAGCAAACAAGAUGUAAACACAAAAGACAAGAUAAAUAUUUUAUCAUCUUUUUGUCUGUUUUUUCAUGGUAGUAAGUUGUAUCCUAAUCACUCCUAACUAUAGUAGUGAGAUGAUUUUUUUCUAGCAUCAGUGUGAAUUAUUUGAUUUUUAUGUGUCUGUUUUAUGUGGAGUCAUUCUUUCAAUGCUUAAAUUAUUCCAGUUUUGGUUGUUAAGAGACUAUUCAAUUUGGCUUCUAUGUACUUCAGGCCCAAAAGUCUUUAAUAAAUUCCUUAUUUCUUGGCACAAGGAAGCAGGCACAUUUAUAUUUCCUUUUUCCGUUUUUAUUUUUUUUAUUAGUACAUGUUUGUAGUACAUAAUUAUCAUUUUUCUUGUGGCAGUUAGUACAUCUUCUUUUUUAAUUUGCUUCUUUUCCACUCCUUGGCUCCUCCCUCUAUCUGUUAGGCCCUUCCCAUUUGCAAAAGAUCUCCCUAUUUCCUAUAUCUAUGUUUUAUUUUGCUCCUUAUUGAUACUUUAGGUUUCUCAUUUAAGAGAAACCAUGGGAUAUUUAAGCUUGUAAGUGUGCUUUAUUUCACUUAACAUAAUGGCCUCACAGUGCAUCUGCUUUCCUACAAGUGAUUCAGGUUUAUUCUUCUUUAUGGCAGAGUAGUUCUCCAUUGUAUAUAAAUCCCACAUUUUCAUUAAGCAUUUAUUCAUCAAUGAAUAUAUAAGCUGCUUUUAAGAUUUAGUUAUGAAUUUUGGUGCUGUAAACAAGGAUAUGCAUGUAUCUCUAAUAUAUCUAAAUCUUUUGGGAAUAUGCAUAGAAGGGGAAUAGCUGAGUCACAUGGAAUUUCUAGUUUUAGUUUUCUGAACAAUCUCUGUACUGAUUUGCAUAAUAGCUGUACUAGUUUCAUUUCGACAAAUAAUGUAUAAGUCUUCCUUUUUCUAUGCAGCCUUGCCAGCACUCGAUAUUAUUUGAUUUCUUGUGAUAGCCAUUCAUUCUGGAAUAAGAUAGACUAUCACUGUAGUUGUAAUUUGCUUUUCUCUACAUUUUGUGUUUUUCUUCACUCAGACCUGUUACUCAUUUUUUCCAAGGUCCCCUUCUUUUCUGUAGUAGGUGCUACCAUCCUCUUUGCUACUGGGUUGGCCAUUAUAUUGGAUGAUUCCUAUUGAUACAUUUGAAAAAUGCGUAAUUUCUAAAAGAAAAACAUACAUCAUGACUUUCUAGUAUAUAGUUACCUUGAUAAUGGUCAUCUGUCCAUUUGACAAAGACUAGUAGAAAGAUUUGAGGUUUAUACUUAUAAUAUUGCAUUAAUAGGGCUUAAUGUUUGUGUUUAUAAGAAAGAUAUAUUUGUAAUAUUCACUCAGAUAAUCCAAAUAAGGCUACUUUUUUCUUGUUCAUACUAAAGAACCCUACUAAUACACUGUUGAAGGGCCAGUAUGGUAGUUCCAUGAUGUCACCCAUGACUGAGGUUUCUAUCUUUUCUGCCACUGCUGUCAUCUCAGCUUCGUUUUGUGUGGACCACCAGUCAACCUGAUUGUUAGUCCAUGGAUUUGUCACUUUGGAAAACAAUUUGGUAGUCUCUCAAAAAGUUAAAUCCAGAGUUACAAACUAUAUGUCGUAGAAAUUCUAUUCCUAAGUGUAUGCCUGCAAGAAUUGUCAGGAAAAUUAUAUUUUCAGAAAAACUUCAAGGCAAGUGUUCAUAGCACCAUUAUUCAUGAUAGCCAAAAAGUGCAAACAACUUAGAAAUCUAUCAAUUAAUGGCUAAAGAAGCAAAUGAAGUAUAUCCACAUCCUGGAAUGUUUUUCAGCCACAAAAAUGAAGUACUGAUGCAUAUGGCAACAUGAAUGAACCAUGAACAAUAUGCUACAUCAAAGAAGUUAAAUACAAAAGGUCAUAUUGUAUGAAAUGUCCAGAGUAGGAAAAUCCAUGAAGAUAAAAAGAUUAGUAAUUCUAGAUUUUGGGAAAAGAGGUAAUAAUAAUUGCUAGUUGAUGAUACAGGUUUGUUUGGGGAGCAAAAAAUGUUUUGGAAUUAGUAAUGAUGGUUCUACAGUUUUGUGAAUACACUGAAAAACAGUUGUACACUUCAAAAUGGCCUGUUUAAUGGUAGGUAAAUUAUAGCUAAAUUAGAAACUAUGUAUCAGAGAGAAGGGAAAGGGUUGUAAAAAGAAUUAAGAUGUGUUAUAUACAUGUUCCAGCUCCCCACAGAGCAUGCAAUCUUUAUGUAUUGCAAAUGUGUACUAAUAGAAAAAAAAUUAUAUGUGUCAGAAAAAACUGUAUCAUUAGCAGUUAACCAUUAAUAAUAAAGUUAUUACCAUUCCAAAAAUACUUACAAUAGUAGGGUUUGAAGGGUUGAAUAUUUGAUAUAAGACAUGCAAAGAUGUAAAUGCUAAUGAUUUUGAAGAACAUAAGCAACUUACUCAUUUUUUGCUUUUAGCCUUGCCUGCCCUGGAAACUUUGCCUCAUUUAGAUACUAAUGAUCAUUGACAUAAAACAAAAUCACUAUUAGUUUUCAGUAUUUUAGCAAAGAUAAGAGUGCUCAGUAAUCCAAGUCAUCUGAUUUCAUGACCUUUCCUCCAAUCUCAGGUUAACUGCUAUAACAAAGGGAAGAAAGCCAGAUGGAGAGUGGUUGGAAAUGAGGAGGAGAGCUGGGCUGGGAGGAGGCUGUUUUCUCAGCAUAGCAAUAGGGCUGUUUUGGCAGUGAGUGUACUCAUAGUCAAUCUGGCUAGCAGUGGCAUUCAUGGUUUGAAAUUGCUAACUCAGUUUGUGUAGAACUCCAUCAGUAGUUCCAGCAAGAUCAUCAUAAACCCCAGUUGUAACUGGAAGGGGUCCUGGGACUCUGAACUCAGUGAAUAUCCUAAUGUCCAACAGAAAACUGGCUGAAGAUGUUAAAUGAACACAAGAAAAGGCUUUAGUUUUAGGGAUCAUGGAUUUGUUUGUCCUAAUAUGAAGCUUAGGUUUCAGGACUAACACUAUAUCAAAUCAGCCAACAUUUUUUUUUUUUUAAAUCUCAGCCUGACAAUGACUUUGGGAGGAAUUUCUGAAAGUGUUAAAUGUCUAUUCAACUUGUAUGUGAAAUUCUGUUUACUUUUUGCGCACGUUUUAGCUAAUGACUAUUUACUAUUGCUAAAGACAAAAUUACUGAAUAUUACUGAAUGGCAAAAGAAACAAAGACAGAAAGAAAAAGGCAAUAUAAUAUGUGUGAACAGUGUAUGCGGACAACAUAGAAAACAUGGUUACUGGACAGUUAAUUAGAGGAAAACACAUUUUACAGUUUAGUUGAAUGGUGCUGCAUAUUUUAAAAUUAGUAUAAUUUCCAUUUUUAAAACUAAAAACUUCUUUUUCACUGAGAAAAAACCCACUUAAUAGAAACAUGAACAGCAAUUUACAUAACAAUAACUUAGUAUUAGAAAAGCUUGGCAUUUCUUUUUUUAAAAGAAAAGUUUAGUCUCUGUAGGGUAUAUCAGUAUUUUUGUCUUAAUAUUUUAUAAUCUUUCUACUGUUUCCUAAAAUUUAAAUUUGUGUACGUAGUAUACCCUUCUGCUUUUAAACACUGUGCCUAAAAAAGCCUUUUAAGUUUUUAGUUUGUCAGUUCUCACUGACAUUGUUUUCCACUUUCUGGUAUUUCUAGCCAUAGAGACUGAACUCAGUAUUUUCCAAAUUAGCCAUGACUUCAGAUGUUUGUGCCUGUAUUGCUUUCAUUGUUUCCCGAGUAUUCCCUUCCCCUGGUUCUACCACACAAAAUCAAUCACUCCUAGUUUUGGGUUCUAACAUACUCUACUCCCCUUGUGAAAUGUCCAACAGUGGUUUGGACUUUACACACACUCUAAGCAGGACUGACUGCUGCAAAAAUGGUCAAUAACUGGGUGAAACAUUUGAAUAGGCAGGACUUUUGCUCCUCCAGUCUGGGAUCAAAUAGGAAUUUGCAAAUAAAGACAUCAGGAAAUACUACCCCAAAAUAUGGCUCCUUGUCAUUUGAGUAAACGGCAAAGCAGAAAGGUCUCUUGCUUAUCCUUCCUUUCCUCCAUGAAAGAAGACACAGAAGAAUCCUUUGAGAUAUCUCUGAAGAGAUCCUUUUGCAUGAGGUGCCUUUUAAAUACCAGAAGAAAGAAAUUCCUUAUCUCGCUGAACAUAUGGAGAAGAAUCUGAAUAAACAGGCCUUAUUAAGUUCUUCUCACUUUGUUUCCAUUGUAUAAUUUGUCUUCCAUCAAUCUUCCCCAUAACUGUCCACUCCUGAAACCUAAGUGUAAAACACACAGCUUUUUCUAUUUCUGUGGAUCUAGAUUUCUAAAAGAUCUACUGUUACCUCAAAUUUAUGUUAGGGCUAAAUUUGUAGUCUUUUUUCUUGUUAAUCUGCCUUUUGUUUUAAGGACAUCUGCCAUGAACCUAGUAAUGGCUGAAACAAGAUUUGUUCUCCUUCACAACAAAGUAACUAUUUUUUUAUACGAGGUUUCCAUGGAAAUCUAUUAUCUCUGAAGAAAGAUUUUGUGUUAGUUUAAAAAACAGGGCAAAAACCUCUUGUAUAGAGAAAAGAUAAUGAACUCCAGAGUUAAAGAGAUCUUAGUUGCUUUUAAAUCCUAACAUUCAUUAGCAGGGUAACCUUGGUGACUCAUUUGGUGUCUCUGGCCUUAGUUUCUUAUUUGUAGUAUUGGUUGAAUAGUACAUAAAUGAUGAGAUCAUUGUAAAGAUUAAAUAGAAUUCUGUGUAUUAUGUGCCUGGUCUGUUAGAAAAUGUUAACUCCUUUCUUUUUCAGCAUAUAACAUGUAUAAUUUUAAUAAUAUGUUUAUGUCCCCUAUACAGGCAAGGAAAGACAUACAACAUAGUGUCUGGCUUAGAUCAGAAUCUGAAUAAAUGUUUGAUGAAUGAGUUAAUACUUCUGAUUUCUUUCCAAAUUGCUUUGAAAGUUCAUGGCUUUUUACUUGAUUUAUGUGAAUAAUUCUAUUUUAAAAUCAGACAUAUAGCUCAUUUAAAUGGAAAAUUGGAUGAGAUUGCAGUUAUUUUACCUUCUCUCUAAUUUUUAACUCUGUCUUCCUCUUUUUUUCUUUACAUGUCAAAUGGUCAUGCUUUAACACAGUGGAUAUUUGAGGUGAAAAAUACUGUUGCUUCAUAUAUUAUAUUUAGUUCUUUGUUCCUCUAGAUUAUUUUUCUCUAUGAAGUUCCAGAAUACAUUCUUCUUCAGUUUUCGUCAUGAUCACUUUUCAAAUAAAAAGGUUUUUAUUGGGCACCCUUCUACAUGAUACUUCUAUUCCCUUUUUUAAAGUUAGGUAGGCUUAAUGGUGACUUGCUAAGUUAUGAUGUCAUUAGAUCCCAUAGGUAUGGUUCAAAAAUAGAAAAAUACAAUUUUAAUUACUGUUAUGAAAAAUUCCUAAAAGAUGAAUGUUGGUUGGGUGUCUCAUCUUCAGCAAAGGGUGAAAUAUUUAGUUCUUUUUCAUUGCUAGAUUAAAAGUUUUAAGGUGUUCCAAUCUAGAGUCAUUGUCUCAGAAGGUACAAUGAUCAUUACUAGUCUUUAUUUUUUUACUUUUAGAGAAUUUUGUUAACCAUAAAAAAGAUCUCACUGGGCAAUGCUUUUGAUCUUGAGCAAAGUUCGAUACAUAUAUCAUUUUUAAAAUUUUUAUGUUGGAAUGAAGAAGUAACAGAAGAUCAUGCAAAUGCAAAAUUAAUUGUGUGAACCAAUGUGUAAUUGUAAAAUAACUCUUUUAGUCAUUUUGGAGUUUAAAUUCAGGGAAGUGUGUGGUUUUGCCUGGAAUACUCAGUAACUCGGAGUUCACGUGUAGGUAAAAUCUAAAAGGACUUUUCAUGAUGAAAUCAUUUCACCUGGGUAGGUGACCUCCAUUGAUUGACACUGAGUUUGCUUUCAUGUGAUUGCUUGCAUUACUGAAAAGUCAAUUAUGAUAACUGUCAUUCUUUGCUCUUUGUGGAAGUGUACAUGUGACAGAGUGUAAAGAAGAAACAAUUCUUCUUCCUUAACUGUCUCUCUGCUCCUGAACUGUUAAACUGGCAAAAAGCCUGGAUAGCUUUAGGUUGUUACUGAAUGUUUCUAAAGAUGUUAGCUUACUACCAUAAUUCCAAAAGAAUGUUUGCUCUGCAAUUCCCUUUCCUUACAUUAUCUUUAAUAAUUUCAAAAACUGCAAUUUAUCCAAGACCUUCUAAAAAUGCUUCUGAGGGGAUAUUUUAUUUUGUCUAAAACCAAAUUUUUAGUCUUCUCUGUACUCUAUAACUUAUUUAUUAUCAUGUAUUUAUUCUACAUGUAUUUAUCUUAGCUUCCAACUAAUAAAAAGAGCUCAUGGAGAACCCAUAUCUUAUACUUCUUUAUGUUUUUCUAUCAGAGUUAGUGCUGGAUAGAAUAUGCCAUGUAUCUAUUAAAUUGCUUCUUUGAUUUGGCCAAGUGGGGAGAAGAGAAACCACUGACAAAAAGUGUAAGGCUAGUCCCACUUGAAUUAUGAUGGUGGAAAUGGGUAUGUGUUGAGUAUUUCCCCCUGGCCUUCUAGAUCCAUCCUACAUUCUUCUCUACUUUGCCCUGGCUGACCUUGAUUGACUUUAUCAACCGACUCCUUGCUCUCUGGUUUCCACUUGUGUUCAGCAGAUAGGAAGCAGGGAAAGGAAGUCUGAGAGGCAGGAGAAGGGGCUGGGGUAUUUAUUCAUAGAAUUCUCAGUCUGUGAGACCUUGUCACUGUGUCCAUGGUUCCUCCUGACCAUGCCUAGAUGUACAACUUUCUUCAGUUUCCUGGCCCUGCUUUCCCCCACCACGAAAUGCACACACACACACACCUUCAAAUAUAAAGAUAGUAAUGACUAAUGACUUCUAAUUAUUGUAGUUUUGAGCUACUCUACUAGCAGUUGUUGAUGUCUUUAACCUUGUCCAUACCUUUCCAAAUCUGUAUCCUGCUGGGAUUCUGACUAAAAUUGAUGGUAGCCUUAACUUUUUAAGUAAUUUCAGAAAUAAUUUGCAUUUUAUUUUUGUUAUUAUACAACAAGAAUGUAGUCUAACUUAAUGUAAAUGUUUACUUCUUGAAAAGAGCAGACAUGCAAAAUUACCUGUGGAAACUACAUGCAAUUGAAAAUUAUGAUCUUCAGUGAUCUGUAGACCCAACCAAAUGUCUUACUCAGCACUAUAUUCUGCAAACUUGUUUAUAUAACAAAGAUAUUUCCUGCCCAAAGAUUUAAUGACCUGUUAUUAUGUUCAUUAUUUUAGAAGCUUAAUUGACCUAGCCCUCCCAUACAAGAUAGAACUUGUUCAAAAACUCCUUGACUAUUAUUGUCUUCAUGUAAAUGAGAAUGCGAAUUAAAUGUGUGAAUAACAAAUGAUAGUUAUGCUGAUUCCAUAGUUUUUUCUAAUACUGACAGACUAAUAACAAAGAUCAUUGUUAGAAAUGACAGAAAUACAUUAUCUCUAGGUAACUCAUUUUGUGCAAUAAUAAAGUAAUGUCAAAUUACUACUACUGUUGCUAUUUUAAAAAAGGAACUUUCCCAUUAAGGGCAUUCAUUCAUGUUAUAUUUUAUAUUAUCAUCUAUUAUUUUUACAUCUUCUCCUACAAAUAAUAAAUUCAUAUCUAAGUAUCAAAAUUCAUAGCAAUGUUAAUUUGGUAAUAACCUGAUGAUUUUUAUAUUUCUCUAUUAUAACAAAUGUAUACUUUUGAACCACAUUAAAAAUAUUUCUCUGAAGUGUUCUUUUUCACUGUUUUCUUAGGAUCAGUUCAUACUUGAGUUACUGAGGAAAUCUGUUCAUAGCUUCAUAGGAAAUCUGUGUUCAUGGUUCUGUUAGGGACUCUGGAAGCAAAAUAAAUGAACAAAUGAGGGAUUUUUCUUUAGAAAAAUAGCUUAUAAACUAUCUAUACAAUAAUAUGAAAUUCAUGUACCAGUCUUUUCUAUCAGUGUGUCUCCUUUGAUGAUCCCCUGGCACCCUAGUUUUCUUAUGUAUUUUGUUCUCCUCAGUUAUUUACAUAAGAAUAUAUAUAUAUAUAUUGGUCUUUUUGAGAAAGGAUCUCACUAUGCAGUUCAGCUUGGCCUUGAGCUCACUUUAUAGCCCAGUUUGGUCUUGAUUUUCCUGCUUUAGCCUCCCAAGUGCUGGGAUUACAGGAGUCUACCACCACACCUGGUUUAAAUAAGGAUUUUAUCGUUCCUUUCAAAUUCUAAAGUCUUUGCUAAUAGAGAGCAAGUCUUAUAGAAUGAGGUAUGUACCAAUAGCACUUAAAUUAAAGGAAUUAUUGUUACUUUCUUUGAUAUGAUAAUGAUAUUGUGAUUUCAGUUUUAAAAGUCCUUAUCUAAUAGAAAUAUACUGAAGUAUUUAAAAGGUGAAGUGACAAGAUAUUUAGCAUCUAUUUUUAAAUGCUGUGGAAACAAAUUUUAAAAUACAGUAAAGAUAAAACAAAGGUUGGAGCUGGGGAUUUAGCUCAGCAGCAUAGGUGCCUGCCUUGCAAGUGUGUGGUCAUGAGUUCAAUCCCCGGUACUGAUGAAAAAAAAAAAAAAAAGUAAAACAAAGGUAAUAAAGUAUUGAUAAAUAUUGAAGCUGAUUGAUAGUUACAUUGAAUUAUUGUGCUUUUUUCUCUUCUUUUGUGAGUUUGAAAUUUUCAUAAUAAAAGAUAAAUUAUCUAGAGAUAAUACAAAUAUAACUGUAAGGAAUAUAGAGAAUAAUAAAUGCAAAUAAAAGUCUCUAUUAGGAUGCUUGUUAACAGAAUUGACACCUGGAUUUGCCAAGUCUCUUGCUCUGACAUGCUGGGCAUUAUAAAUCUCCUUGUCCUUAUUUAAAGGAAAUGUCAUCUGGGAUACUCUUUUCUUACCACAACUUUCUCUUCUCUGGGAUAGAACAAAACAGAGGAGUGGUCAUGCUUGUACUAUAUGACAGCCAAGUCUGGCUUAUCUAGGUACGUAUAAACUGACAACUGACACAAGAAAAGUCCCUCCUCUGACAACUGAAACUUGUAAAAGAAAGCACCUAGACCAGGGUUGGUUAGAGGUCUAUUAUACUAACAAAAUGCCCAAAGAUGAGACAUAUAAACGUUUGAGGUUUAUUUAUUUAUUUCUUCUGUCAAUCCUGAGAAAUAAUUCAGCAUUUGUCCACAAAAUCCUCUUCUGCUUUUUUAUUUGUUUAAAUUAUGCAGAAUCAUUUUUAUUACUUUGAAUAAAAAAUAAAAAAGUUUGUGCAAUAUACCACCUGAAUGAAGUAAACUCAUUCACAUUAUAAAAGUGUCUGAAUACAAUCCUGUUCUUCAUGUGAAACAUUUUUACAUGUUAAUAUAAUAGAUGGAAGGCCUCCUUUCUUCUUGCCAGCUUUUCUAUCUUCAACACAUAAUGCUAGUGUAUAUUGUGUGCAUACACUUAGACAAAUGCUAAAUAUUCAAUGAUAAGAAAAACAGGAUAUCCUUAGCCUUGUGGAGCUCACAAUUUUAUGGAGCAAAUAGAUAUUUUAUGGAGCAAGUAAUGAAACUAAAAGUUGUAUUAUUAUACAGAUAAGUAUUCAUAGGGAAAAGAAUAUGUUUCUAACAAGGUGGAAAACAAUCGAAUCUCAGAGGAUGGAUAAUGGGAAGUCAGGAGUGAACCUGAGGAUUAAAAGGAAACUAUAUAUUCACACACCCACACCCCACCCACACACACAUAUGUGUGUGUAUAUAUAUAUAUAUUUUUUUUUUUUUUUUUUUGAGACAAGGUCUCACUAUGAAGUUCAGGCUGGCCUUGGGCCACGUAGCCCAGGUUGAUCUCAGAUUUGCAGUGAUCCUCCUGCCUCAGCCUCCUGAGUGCUGGGAUUACAAGAGUGCACCAUUAUGCCUGACUAACACUUUAUAAUUACAUGGAAAGGUGGGAGAAUGGGAUAAAGGGUGGAAAGCAUUUCAAAGAUGACUUCCAGGAUUUUGUGGAAACAAAAUGGAUGGAGAGAGAACCCCACUAUGCAAAAAGCUGUGUGUCAUUAUUUGGUAAACAGUUAAGGCCUAAUUAAAAUAAGUUCAAUAUUUAUCAUUAGGGCAACACUGAAACUCACUAGUACACUCAUUUUAUUACAAGAGCAAAAGCUUUCUCACACUCUUGGGCUCAAACUGUGAUGUGUGUCUCUUUCGUAAGCCAGUUUGCAAUAAGAGCAAUGAUAACUCGUGACUGACUUAGAGACUAAUCAUGAUUUCUGAAUUUGGGUAAAAGAAUGGACCUAAUUCUCUAAAACACAUGGCUGUUUUAUGAGCAAGGAAGUUGGCAGAAAGAAAUGGCUGUUGCUCAGACAACCAACAGUGUAUCUUGUAGUCAGGUCAACCUGGACAGCAACUGUUCCACAGGAACAAUGAAGGAAACCUGAUUUGAGAGAAUUAUGGAGAAAAUGAACGCCGACUGAUUAAAGCAAUAAACGUAGACAACUCUUUCGAGAAGUCUUGCUGUAAAAUUUGAAGAAAAAUGGAAUGGUAGUUGGAGAGAGAUGUGGGAACUAAGACAGGUUUUAUGUGUAGGUACAGUAUGUGUUUAAGAUGGAGAAACUACUAUAUAUUUGCUAUUGGUGCACAGGAACCAACUGUAGGGAGCAAUGAAGAACGCAGAGGAAAGAAUUGUUGGAGUGAUCUUUUGAAGAGAGAAAUACUGAGUGUGCAUGCACAAGUGGAGAGAUUGGUCUCAGAAGGAAGAUGUAGUUCAUCCACAGUACUAGCAUCCAGAUGGGGUCCAUGGAUCCACAUGCUGGUAUGCAGAUAUAGUUUGUAUAAAUUCUCUUCUUAUUGCUUAUGUAGAGGUCCAUACUAAAGUAAUAAAUAGGUUUCUUAGGAGAUUAAGCUUGUUUGGCAGAAAAUAGUUCAUUGUUUCCUACAAAUAUUUCCAGGAAGUUUUGAUUCUUGAUUUUUGAUUUUUAAGUAGGCUGACUGCUAGUUCACUAAGGUUAUUGUUCUAAAGCUAUAAAUAGAUCAGUGUGAUGCAUGACAGCUUAAAAGAGGUUAUUUUGCACUUCAAAUAAUAUUCCAACCUCUUAUUAAUCCCUAUGGAUCCCUAAAUCACCUGGUCUUUGUAUGCUUCUCUAAACUCAUUAUCCUCCCCUUUGCUUUCUCUGCAACAGCUAACUUAUUCUUUCUAUUCACAAUAUGGUACUUCCUGGUUUGCUCUUCUGAAACACUGUUUCAUCAGUUAUGCACAGGGAAGUCUGACUGUCAACAUUUAGCAUUCUGUGAGGUCUCCUUACACCCGUUACCGAGGUUGCCUGUAGCCUGUGCAGCCAUAAUUCAUUAACAUAUUUUGCUUCUUGUAGCUUUGAACAGUGACCAAGAAAAAUUUUACUUCUUUCUUCAUUAUAUUCCAAAAAAUUAAUAUACAUCAUAGUGCCUAUUAAAUGCUGAAUAUUUUUUCUUUAAUGAAUGCAUAUAAAUGACUUUUUUCUUGUCCCUAUUAAAUUCAACCUUUUUUGUAAACAAAGGUUGAAUUCUAAACAAGGCUUAGAAUAGAAAGGCAUGAUUAUCAAUCUGUGUAUGAUAUAAAGCCAGGCAAUUGCAGCUAAUCUAAAUUGAAUACAACCAUCUCAGUGAGUUGACAUGCUGGAAUAAAAUUAUUUUAACAGAGAAAAUGAUAAACUAUGAAAUUUAAGUUUAAAAUUCUUCAUAAAAAUCAUACCUUAUUGUAACUGUUCAUGAAUUAAGAAUAAACUAGGAAUUUUAGUUGUAGGCUGCUUGGUGGCUGAGAAGUUGGCCUGAUUAACAGAGGCACACUCUCUAGUAUCACAUUCUGCCAGGUUUAACCCCUGUUGGGAGUAGUAAUAUUUAUAUUGGUUAUUGAUCCUCACUUACAAUUCAUUUUUUUUUCAAUGAUUAGUGUUAAUUAUUAAUGUUUAUUGGUCAGCAGCUUCUGUUCUUCUAGGCCACCUAUAUGGAAAAAUGAAAUAAGAAUCAACCCAUUGAUUUUUUUUUUUUUUUUUUUUUUUUUGGUCUUUUUGAGACGGAGUCUUUCUAUGCAGCUCAGGCUGGCCUUGAGCUCACUUUGUAGCCCAGGCUAGUCUCGAACUCACAACAAUCCUCGCCUCAGCCUCCCGAGUGCUGGGAUUACAGGUGUGAGCCACCACACCCGGCAACCCAUUGAUUUCUGAGUGAUGGUAAUAGUUACGUUUGAUGACAUAAAUCUGUUGUCUUCACACCAUGAAUAUGGCAGUAGAGAGCUUGAUCUUCUAAUGCUCUAGUUUCUUUCUAUUUUGGAAUCCUGGGGGACACAGUAUCCUAGGUUGGGUCUCUCAGCCCUGUUCUUAUCUCUAAAAAGAGUCCCUUUAUCAAAUUCUUUUUUUUUUUUUUGGGGGGGGGGUCUUUUUCCUU